rnacentral:rRNA from 1 species
CACCUUCGGUGUCCGAGUUGUAAUCUCUAGAAAUGUUUUCCGCGUUGGACCGCACACAAGUCUGUUGGAAUACAGCGGCAUAGUGGUGAGACCCCCGUAUAUGGUGCGGACGCCCAGCGCUUUGUGAUACAUUUUCAAAGAGUCGAGUUGUUUGGGAAUGCAGCUCAAAUUGGGUGGUAAAUUCCAUCUAAAGCUAAAUAUUGGCGAGAGACCGAUAGCGAACAAGUACCGUGAGGGAAAGAUGAAAAGCACUUUGGAAAGAGAGUUAACAGUACGUGAAAUUGUUGGAAGGGAAACGCUUGAAGUCAGACUUGCUUGCCGAGCAAUCGGUUUGCAGGCCAGCAUCAUUUUUCCGGGAUGGAUAAUGGUAGAGAGAAGGUAGCAUUUUCGGCUGUGUUAUAGCUCUCUGCUGGAUACAUCUGGGGGGACUGAGGAACGCAGUGUGCCUUUGGCGGGGGUUUCCACCUCUUCACACUUAGGAUGCUGGUGGA